rnacentral:rRNA from 1 species
CAGAGAUGCUUUGGUGCCUUCGGGAACUCUGAGACAGGUGCUGCAUGGCUGUCGUCAGCUCGUGUUGUGAAAUGUUGGGUUAAGUCCCGCAACGAGCGCAACCCUUAUCCUUUGUUGCCAGCGGUCCGGCCGGGAACUCAAAGGAGACUGNCAGUGAUAAACUGGAGGAAGGUGGGGAUGACGUCAAGUCAUCAUGGGCCUUACGAGUAGGGCUACACACGUGCUACAAUGGCGCAUACAAAAGAGAACGACCUCGCGAGAGCAAAGCGGACCUCAUAAAGUGCGUCGUANUCCGGAUUGGGAGUCUGCAACUCGANUCCAUGAAGUCGGAAUCGCUANUAAUCGUAGAUCAGAAUGCCNCCGUGAAUACCUUUCCCGGGUCUUGUNCACACCGGAAAAAAA